rnacentral:tRNA from 1 species
GCCAGUGUAGCACAGUGGUUUGAGUGUUGGUCUACAAUUCUGGAGACCAGAGUUUGAUUCCCAGCUCAGCCA